GAUAAAUUUGUUUAUCAGUGAAAGUAAUUAAACACUCCCAUCCCACAUUUUUGAUUUUUUUAAAUAUGUGAGGAAAGUUGUUAAAGGAAGUUAUUAUGCUUGGUGUGAGACUGUGUCUUAUGUGCCUAUACUUGACUUAUGCUGAGGAAGUAACUAGUUGAGGUGCAUAAGUGUCAGGAUGUAACUCAGAUAAAAGUGGGAGUUUCCUUUGUUUAGAAGAGUAAACAGGGUCCAUUUAUGACAACAAGUGAUGUAAACAGAAAGAGGAUAGAAACAGUUACCAGGUGAUGAACGAAAAUAAACCAUGUAUGCAGUAAACAUGUGGAGUUUCCAUUUAUAGAAGGAUACUGUGACAGAUAGGGCAAGAAUUAAACAAAGGGAUGUAAGCAUUUAUUUAUCUAACAUAGACAAUUCAGAUAUAAGGACCAAGGAAAAUACAUAUCUGCAGAAAACAUUGAGUAGCCAUAGUUGGUGUCUAAUUAAUUUAAUGUUUUGCAAAAAAAAUCUUUUUAUUUAAGAAAAAAUCAAGAGAGAGAUAGAGACCAGUCAUAUACAGUAAAUAUUACCAUAUAUUUUAAAAGAAUAUGUUUUGAAAAAUAGAGAGAUUAAUUCGAACAUGUCUAAUCAGUAAGAGCAACUCCAGCAGGCCGGAGUUGCCAAAUUCGUAGACUAUAUUUGUGACGCCCCCAAAAUAGGUAUACAUCACCCAUCUUGAGUCGCCAAAUACAUGGUACAAAAAAUACAAAUACAACUUAAUAAUACAACUAUCGUGUAAAAUACGACAAAACAUAAACUGAGAGUUUUAAUAAGAAUAUUGUCAUCUAGACAAUAUCCACACUCAAUCGAGUCCUCAUUACAUUUAUUGUCACACUAUUUAAUAGAAUAGUGAGGACUACUAAUGCUAUCAUCUGGACAGUCACUCCUUUCCCAGACUCGUCCCAGCUAUAUUCUCAUUUCCUGAAGAGAACAGUGAAAGAAAAGGGUAAGCUCAACUAGCCCAGUAAGAAAUAUCGUGACUAAGAUAAUGCAGAAUAAAUUAUCAUUAGUCUUCAACAAUGUUAAACUAAUAAAAUAUAAUAGACAUCAAGUUUAAUUGCAGUGGAACAAGCAAUCCAUUAGAAGAGUCAAGUAGAGAAUAAAAUCUAUUAUCUACUAUCAUUUAAAAAGUUUUCAUCAAUUUUUAUCACUGAAACUCAGCUCAACAAAUAAACCACAUCAUCGAGUCAUCCCUGCACUACGGGCCAAGGAUAUUCAUUAAAUAAUCCAUGGUCAUGACUAUACCGAAUAAUCCCUGGUCAUAAUCAUACCAAAAACUGUCCAUCAAUGCACUACAGGCUACUGAGGACUUUUACCACCUCAUUUAUAACAUUACAGGUCAUGAUUAUACCGAAUGAUCCCUGGUCAUAAUCAUACAAAGUUCAUCUAUGCACGUAAGCCAAAGAUGACUUUUAUCAUAAUAUAAGCAUGACGAUGAUGACAAUGACAUAAUAAUUCAAUAAAACAAGUUCAAGAAUAAAUUUUAAAAAUUUAUAAGUUAAUUUAUCCUGAACUCAAUAAUGUCCAAAUUAUCAACAUGAUACUUCUUUGUGGAGUAAAAAUUCAAGAAUGUUCAGAAAAAUAUUUUCAUUAAAAGAUACUAGAUGAAGCGCAAAUAUCAAAGAUAUUUCACUAAUUUUAUGGAGUAUAGAAGUCAAAGCUUUAACCAACUAAGUAUAAGAGAAUAUAUAAAACUACAAAUGGAUUUUCGGCCGCCACGCGGUACUCCACUUAGACAGAUCAUUUCCAUAAUUUAAUAAGGAGUGAAUACAAAGGUUCAUUCACCAUGCAUGUGAUAAUCCACAUAGACAGGUUAUUCCAACAGAAUGAUAAAGAAUGGAAUAACAGAAGAAAUAAUCAUGCAUGCGAUAAACCGCACAGACAGGUUAUUCCAACAUAAUAAUAAAGAAUGAAACUAGGUCAUGCGUAAACAUACUGACAGGAUAUUCCGACAGAAUAAUAAAUAAUGGAACCAGGUCCGGCGUAAACGCACAGACAGGAUAUUUCGACAGAAUAAUAAAUGAUGGAACUAGGUCCGGCGUAAACGCACAGACAGGAUAUUUCGACAGAGUAAUAAAGAACGGAAUAAUAGAAGAAUUUCACCAUGUAUACGGUACUUCGCAUAAACAGGUUAUUCCAACAUAAUAAUGAAGAAUGGAAUAACAGAAUAAUUUCACCAUGUAUGCGGUACUUUGCAUAAAUAGGUUAUUCCAACAGAAUAAUAUGGGAUGGAAUAACAAUAGCUCUCUUCAUGAAUACGAAAGAAAUAAUACCCCUUACCUCAGAAGAAACUGGAUACUGGAAUAGUGACGUAGCAGGCUUCUCUUCUUCUUUCUCUUUAUAGAUUUUCCCUCUAUAGCUUCUCUCUAUAAUUUCUCUCUAUAAUAAUUGUUCUAUAGCUUUAGUGAAUUGGAGAGAAAUGAAGGAAGAAUGAGCUUCUAUUUAUAGAAAAAUAUAGUUUUGAUAAUUGCACGUUUUGGGGCUCGAAAAAUUACAGUACAAUACCUCCAACUUUUCUUUCAUUUUUAAUUUAGUCCUGCAAGUAUUAUCAAACUUGCACCACCUCCCCUAAUAGUAAAUAAUGUGAAUCAAUAGUUCAAUUAUGUUAAUCAAUAGUUAUAAUCAUGUGAAAAUACGAAUUACGGUAUAGUACCUCCAUCUAUACUUCCAUCUUUAAUUUAAUCAUGCAAGAAUUAUCAAUCUUGCACCAAUUCCCCUAAUAGUAUAAGAAUGUGAUUCAAUAGUACACACAUGUGAACAAAUAGUUAUAUAAGCAUGUGAAUUAGUAGCAAUUAAUUGAUCAUUUAUCCGAUAAAUUCCCUGAUUUAUCAAUAUAACCCCCAGACAUCAAUUAUCAUCUGAAUAGAUGUCGAUUACCACUAACAUUAAUAAUCCCAACACAAUGGAACUAUCAAAUUCAUCUUUAAUCAAUAUGAAAUUAUUCAUCAUUAAUAUUAUAACUCAUAAUAUUUAACAACCAGGUCGUUCUCAGGAAAGAGGGGGCUUUCCAAUAAGGAUUUCUCCCUAUUGGCGCGCAAUUAGGUGACCAAACCUCUCCUUGGCAGAAGUUCUAGACAUUAUAAAUAUUACAAUUUAAUAAUAUGAAUAACUUUAUCGUCUCAAUUAUUGAUUUAAUAAUAUAUCAUAUAGUGCAGAUGAUACUGUGACAAUAAUCGAAUCAAUAAUAUGAGAGAUAUGAUGCAAUAAUUACUGUAGCAAUAAUUAAGUAUAACUGAGUGACUUCUCACGUAAGCAUCAAUAACCAAUACCGUGUGCUACUAUGCAACCACGCGUAUUACUAUACUUUUACUACCGUGUAGUUCAACAGUUUUAACGAUAACACUUUCGCCUUUAUUUUUAUAACAAGAUAAUUCUGUCAUUUUCUUACUACGACAAUACUUCCGUUGUGGGGUCCACCAAUGAUUGUGCCGUCGUAUGAAUAUUCCCUGUUAAAACGAAUAUUCCCCGACCAAUCGAAUAUUAUAUAACCACUUGAUUACUUUGCAAAAUUUGUAAAUAUUACCCACAACUAUAACAUUAUAUAAUAUUCACACCAUAAUAUUCAAAAAUAUGUUUCGAGAGAAAUUAAUCUUUAUUCAUAAAAGUUGGGGUCUUACAACCUCCCCUUCUUAUGAAAUUUCGUCCUCGAAAUUAGGGUGUGUACCUGGUAUAUCGAAGAGGUGAGGAUAUCUUGACUUCAUCUCAGAUUCUAACUCCUAGGUCAUUUCUUCCACAUCGUGAUUUCUCCACAAAACUUUGACUUGAGGUAUAACCUUGGAGCAUAGAAUAUGAUCCUUCUUUUCCAAGAUUUUAACAAGUAACUCUUCAUACGUUAAAUCUUCCUCUAUCUCGUCUGGUUCUAAUUCAAUAAUGUGAUUCGGGUCUUUCACAUAUUUACGUAACAUAGAUAUGUGGAAAACGUUAUGAACAUGAGACAUACUUGGCGGUAAGGCGAGUCUAUAGGCCACAGUUCCUACUCGUUCGAGUAUUAUAAAUGGGCCAAUGAAUCGAGGAUUGAGUUUUUCUCUCUUUCCAAAUCUUGUAACUCCUUUCCAUGGAGCAACACGUAACAACACAUGAUCUCCAAUAUUGAAUUCCACGUCCUUUCGAUAAAGAUCAGCAUAACUCUUUUGUCGAUCUUGUGAGGUUUUUAUACGUUGUCGGAUUGUUUGAAUCUUUUCCGUAGUCAUACGUACCAAAUCCGGUCCCAACAACAUUGCUUCACCCACCUCAUCCCAACAUACUGGAGAACGACACUUUCUUCCAUAUAACGCCUCAAAUGGAGCCAUGCCAAUACUUGCUUGAUAACUAUUGUUGUAGGAAAACUCCACCAAUGGUAAGAACUUAUUCCAACUUCCCUUGAAGUCAAGGACACAUAGUCUUAAUAAAUCCUCAAGAGUUUGAAUAGUCCUCUCUGAUUGUCCGUCCGUUUGAGGAUGAUACGCCGAACUAAAUCGUAAAUUCGUGCCCAUAGCUUUUUGCAAACUAACCCAAAAUCUUGAAGUGAAUCUUGGGUCUCGAUCAGAAACUAUGGAUACUGGCAUACCAUGCAGUCUUACAAUCUCGUUUAUGUAUAUACGAGCAAGACGUUCAAAUGUAUAAGUUUCUCGUAUCGGUAAGAAAUGAGCAGACUUGGUCAAUCUAUCAACAAUGACCCAAAUCGCAUCUAUGCCUUGAGAAACCUUGGGAAGACCAGUAACGAAAUCCAUGGUAAUGUGCUCCCACUUCCAUUUUCAAGUGGUUGCAAUGGACCUUUUGGCACUUGAUGCUCCGCCUUGACUCGUUGACAAGUUAGACACCUUGAGAUAAACAGCGUUAUCUCUCUCUUCAUAUUGCUCCACCUAAAUGUAUGUCGAAGAUCACGAUACAUUUUGGUACUCCUAGGAUGGAUUGCAAACGGUGUGUUGUGCGCCUCCAUCAUGAUUUUAUACUUCAAAUCAGAAUCGUUAGGAACACAAAGUCUGGAGUUGACUCGAAGUAUUCCUUCUUCAUCGAUUCUUGCUUCCGGAAUAGCACCUUCUUGUACUUUUUUUCUCAUACGUAUCAGCUCUAGGUCUGUAGCUUGAGCAGCUUUAUCUUUAUCGAUUAAAGUUGGUUCCACUCGUAUAUUCGCCAUCAUCACAUGGGUCCCUGGAGUCUUUAACUCUAUUUCCAUCCUUUCCAAGUCAUACACAAUGGGCCUUUGCAUUGACAAUAAUUCACUCGUGCCCGCAUAUGAUCUUCUACUCAAUGCGUCAGCUACUACGUUCGUUUUUCCAGGAUGGUAUUGGAUGGUAUGAUCAUAAUCUUUCAACAACUCAAGUCAUCAUCGUUGUCGCAUGUUGAGUUCCUUUUGAGUGAAGAAAAUAUUUGAGGCUUUUAUGAUCCGUAUAGAUCUCCACCUUCUUUCCAUACAGGUAAUGCCUCCAAAUCUUAAGUGCGAAGACAACAGCUGCCAACUCUAGAUCAUGAGUAGGAUAAUUCUUCUUAUAUUCUUUGUCGUGAGGCAUAAGGUAUGACUUUCCCAUGUUUCAUGAGAACACAUCCUAACCCUUUACCUGAAACAUCACUGUAAAUGACAAAUCCCUCUGUGCUAGAUGGUAUUGUCAGAACAGGUACUGAAAUGAGUCUCCUCUUGAGUUCUUAAAAACUCUUCUCACAUUCCUCGCUCCAACUGAAUUUUGUAUCUUUUCGAGUCAGCUGCAUUAAUAGAGUAGCAAUUCAAGAAAACCCUUCUACGAAUCUCUGAUAAUAACCAGCUAAGCCGAGAAAGCUACGUACUUCAGUUACUUCAAUUACUGACUUAGGUUGCUCCCAACUUUGAAUUGCUUCAAUCUUUGCCAGGUCAACAAAUAUUCCAUGAUUUGAUAAUACGUGCCCAAGGAAUGCUACUUCCUCAAGCCAGAACUCGCAUUUCUUCAACUUGGCAUAUACCUUGUUUUCACGAAGCUUUUUAAGUAUCAGCCUCAAGUGUUGCUCAUGGUCUUCACGGGUUUUGGAAUAAAUGAGGAUGUCAUCAAUAAAGACGACCACAAAGUGAUCCAAAUAUUCCUUGAAUACUCGGUUCAUCAUAUCCAUGAAGGCAGCAGGAGCAUUAGUCAAUCCAAAAGACAUGACUAUGAAUUUAUAAUGCCCAUACCGAGUUCUGAAAGCAGUCUUUGGAAUGUCAUCAGUUUUAAUCUUCAACUGAUGAUAUUCAGAACGAAGAUCAAUAUUUGAAAAGAAUUUGGCGCCUUGCAACUGGUCAAACAGAUCAUCAAUACGAGGUAACGGGUACCUAUUUUUUAUGGUGAUAUAAUUCAACUCCCGAUAAUCAAUACAAAGUCGCAUACUUCCAUCUUUCUUCUUCACGAAUAGGACAGGAGCACCCCAAGGAGACGUACUAGGACGAAUGAAACCGAUGUCUAACAAUUCCUGUAGUUAGGUUUUUAACUCCUGAAGUUCAAUAGGAGUCAUUCGAUAUGGGGCUUUGAAAAUGGGUUUUGUACCGGUUUCAAGAUCGAUACAAAAUUCAAUUUCACGCUCUGGGGGUAGGCCAGGAAGUUCUUCAGGGAAUACGUCAGGAAAUUUAUUAACAAUAGAAAUAUCAUUCAAAUCUGACGUAUUUUUAUUUAAAUCCGUGACAUGGGCUAAGAAAGCUUGACAUCCGUUUUUCAAUAAACGAAUAGCUUUAUGGCUUGAUAUGACAGUGAUUGAUUUUAGUGGUUUGGCUGCUUGAAUUCGUAUAAUAGGUUGGUUAGGAAUAUGAAAGCUAACAACCUUACGAAAACAAUCGAUUUUAGCAUGAUGAAUAGUUAACCAAUCAAUCCCUAAAAUCACAUCAAAUGCAAGUAUUUUCAAAGAAAUAAGAUUGACAGAUAACGUGCGGUUACCGAUUUGAAUCAAACAAGACUUAUAAACAGUGGAUGUAAUGAAGGUUUCUCCCAACGGAGUUUCAACUGAUAAGUCAAGGUCUAAUUUCUCCGGAGUCAAAUUUAAACGUUGAGCGCAAGUAGGAGAAAUGAAAAAAUAGGUAGAACUAGUAUCAAAUAAAGUAUAAAUUUCGCUAGACUUUAUGAUUAACUUACCUGUGAUCACCUCGUUCGGAUUCCUCACUUUUUGGGAGGUCACGACAAACGCUCUUCCUUGAACUACCGAUUUUGUCUUGUCUGGGACCCCCUUUGAUGCCUCCAUCCCAGCUGGACUUGACUUUGGUACACGGCAAAAUCGGGCUAGGUAGCCUUCUUUUCCACAAUUAUAACAUGCUUUGGACUACAUCGUGCAGUUUGGACUUAUGUGUCCUUCCCCUCCACAUUUGUAACAUACGACCGGCGGUCGUUCUUCUUCCUUAACAGCGAGUGCUGGUGCUGACGUCUUUCAAUCUUUGCUGAACCUUCUCUUCUUGAACUUUCCACUCCUAUUGUCAUGGCAAUGAUUACCACCGAAGUGGUUAUCACUUCUGGCAAGUUGAUUCCCUCUGCGUUAUUCAUUGAAUCAUCCAUGGUCAUAACUAUACCGAAUAAUACCUGGUCAUAAUCAUACCAAAAAUUGUCCGUCAAUGCACUACAGGCUACUAAGGACUUUUACCACCUCAUUUAUAACAUUACAGGUCAUGAUUAUACCGAAUGAUCUCUAGUCAUAAUCAUACAAAGUCCAUCUAUGCACUUAAGCCAAAGAUAACUUUUAUCACAAUAUAAGCAUGAGGAUGAUGACAAUGACAUAAUAAUUCAAUAAAACAAGUUCAAGAAUAAAUUUUAAAGAUUUAUAAGUUAAUUUAGCAUGAACUCAAUAAUAUUCAAAUUGUCAACAUGAUACUUUUUUGUGGAGUAAAAAUUCAAGAAUGUUCAGAAGAAUAUUUUCAUUAAAAGAUACUGAAUGAAGUGCAAAUAUCAAAGAUAUUCCACUAAUUUCAUGGAGUAUAGAAGUUAAAGCUUUAACCAACUAAGUAUAAGAGAAUAUAUGAAACUACAAAUGGAUUUUCGGCCGCCACGCGGUACUCCACUUAGACUGAUCAUUUUCAUAAUUUAAUAAGGAAUGAAUACAAAGGUUCAUUCACCAUGCAUGUGAUAAUCCACAUAGACAGGUUAUUCCAACAGAAUGAUAAAUAAUGGAAUAACAGAAGAAAUCAUUAUGCAUGCGAUAGACCGCACAGACAGGUUAUUCCGACAGAAUAAUAAAUAAUGGAACCAGGUCCGGCGUAAACGCACAGACAGGAUAUUCCGACAGAAUAAUAAAUGAUGGAACCAGGUCCGGCGUAAACGCACAGACAGGAUAUUCCGACAGAAUAAUAAAUGAUGGAACCAGGUCCGGCGUAAACGCACAGACAGGAUAUUCCGACAGAGUAAUAAAGAACGGAAUAAUAUAAAAAUUUCACCAUGUAUACGGUACUUCGUAUAAACAGGUUAUUACAACAUAAUAAUAAAUAAUGGAAUAACAGAAGAAUUUCAUCAGAUUAUUCAAUAAGGAUUUCUACCUAUUGGCGCGCAAUUAGGUGACCAACCUCUCCUUGGCAGAACUUCUAGACAUUAUAAAUAUUAUAAUUUAAUAAUAUGAAUAACUUUGUCGUCUCAAUUAUUGAUUUAAUAAUAUAUCAUAUAAUGCAGAUGAUACUGUGACAAUAAUCGAAUCAAUAAUAUGAGAGAUAUGAUGCAACAAUUACUGUAGCAAUAAUUGAAUAUAACUGAGUGACUUCUCAUGUAAGCAUCAAUAACCAAUACCGUGUGCUACUAUAUAACCACGCGUAUAACUGUACUUUUACUACCGGAUAGUUCAACAGUUUUAACAGUAACACUUUCGCCGUUAUUUUUAUAACACGAUAAUUCUAUCGUUUUCUUACUACGAUAAUACUUCCGUUGUGGAGUCCACCAAUGAUUGUGCCGUCGUACGAAUAUUCCCUGUUAAAACGAAUAUUCUCCGACCAAUCGAAUAUUAUAUAACCACUUGCUUACUUUGUAAAAUUUAUAAAUAUUACCCAAAACUAUAACAUUAUAUCAUAUCCACACCAUAAUAUUCAAAAAUAUAUUUUGAGAGAAAUUAAUUUUUAUUCAUAAAAGUUGGGGUCUUACAAUAUUUAGUCUAGGACGCCAAAAUCGCUCCAGCAGAUGGACUAUAUUUAGUCGAUCAACUUUUUCGGCCGCUCAAAACGACCAAAUCUGCGAACGAAAAAUCAGCCAGACUAUAAUUUAAUAUAAUUAAAUGGAAAACUCUCUGUUAAAGAAAUUGAAGAAAAAAAAUAAGAAAAACUCUGUUGAAGAAGAUCUGUCGAAGAAGAAGGAGAUGAAGUGAGAGAACUGAAAGUGAAGUGAAGAAGAGAUGAACGGUAAUAAAGUACAAUCCAACGGAUAGAAAAAAAAAAUUCAGAACGGUAAUAAAGAGUACAAACGGAUAGAAAUUGAAAGCCUAAUUGGAAAUCUAUAAAUAUGUAUAAUAAUUCAAUUUAUUUUAUAUCUUUCAAUCAACUACUCCAACAUUUAGCAAUUGUAAGUAUUUUAUUAAUAAUAGUUUAUAUUUUUAUUAUAUUUGAUUUUUGUUUUUUAUUGAUAAUAUCUCUUUAAUUUAUUUUUUAGAUAAAAAAUUAUGAUCCUCCGAUGUAUUAUUCUUCAUUAUUAUCUGAAGGUUUCUCACUUGAUGAUCCAAAUUUGUUGGAUGAAUUUUCAAUUCAAAUUGAUGUACCAAUUCAGACUCCCAAAAAUGAGUCCAAUAAAAGAACAGGGCAAAAGAGAAAUUACACAAUUGAAGAAGAUGCUCUUCUUGUUUUCGAAUGGCUUAAUGUAAGUAUGGAUCCAAUUCAAGGAAACGAUCAAAAACAUGAAAGAUAUUGGGAAAGAGUUCACAAAUACAAAAAUUUUGAAUCUAAACGUAAUUCUACUGCUUUGGCGAAACGUUGGUCAACAAUUCAACUCGUGGUGAACAAAUUUUAUGGAUAUUAUGCUUCAAUUGAAAGAAUGCAACAAAGCGGUGUAAGCGAACAAGAUAAGGUAUUUCAAUUUUUUCAUAUAAAAUUUCAUUAAGUUUUAUUCUUAUAUUUUAUAUUUAAUACUUUGUAAAUAAUUUUUCAAUAGAUAUGUCAAGCAUUAGAGAUGUUCAAAAGUAUGCAAAAUCAACCAUUUGAAUUUAUGCAUUGUUGGAGAAUAUUAAAAGAUGCACCGAAAUAGAGAACAGAUAAUAGUAGAAAAAAAUAGAAAAAUAAUAGAAAGUCAAGUCCAACAGCAUCUUCUCCAUCAACUACAGAAGAAGUCAGUUUGGGUAAAGACGAUGGUAUUGAAGAUACAAUCUCUGCAAGAUUAGAGAGACCAAUAGGAAAAAAGGCUUCAAAAGCAUUAUUUAAAAAGGGCAAAGAAAUCGGUGAUACUAGUACACCUAUGGAGUUGAUGUUUGAGAAGUUCGAGCAUCAGAUUAAAUUGAACCAACAAAAGAGACAAGAGAACAUGGACAGAAUAUAUUUUCAAGAGCAAGAGAAGUUGAAUAUACUAAAAGCACAAGAAAAUGAAAGGAUCAUGAUGAUUGACACUGCUAACAUGGAGCUUAAAGUAGCUAAAUAUUACAAACAACGUAAGAAAGAAAUCAUGAAAAGAGUUACAUCUAAUAAUUGACUGGCUUAUUAUUGUAGUAGAAUAUAAUAGAGCCUGAAGUAGCUUAAUUUCCUUAUUAUUGUAGUAGAAUGUAAUGGAUUAGGCUCGGCCAUGUAGUGACCACAAGUGUUGAAUAAUAUCUUCUUGCAGUUUAGAAUGAACUUGUUUAUCCCUUAUGAAAGUAAUUGUGGGGUACGCUCAUGAGACACUUCUACAGUUGAAAUCUCGUCAUGUGUAUCGUAGGUUGUUGGUUCUUGAUUUUCAUCUCGUUCAUCUUCAACUAUCAUAUUAUGUAAUAUUAUGCAUACAGUCAUAAUUUCUUUUAGUGUUGUUUAAUCCCAAAAUCGUGCAGGACCACGAACUAUCACAAAACGUGCUUGCAGUACCCCAAAUGCUCGCUCAACAUCCUUUCUAAGCGCCUCUUGAGUCUUAGCAAAUAGUUUUCUUUUAUUUCCCUAAAGUGCCAAAAUGAUUUUAACAAAUAUUGUCCAUGGGGAAUAUAUACCAUCAACAAGAUAAUAUCCCAUCGUGUACUCAUUUUCAUUAAUUGAGUAGCUCACUGGUGGAGCACGACCUUCAGUAAGAGCAGAAAAGAUAGAUGAUCUCUCCAAAACGUUAAUAUCAUUAUGAGAGCUUGGUAAUCCAAAAAAUGCAUGUCAUAUCCAAAGAUCGUAUGAAACCACCGCUUCUAAAAUAAUUGUUGGCUCGUGCACAUAUCCAAAAUACAUAUCAUGCCAUGCAACUAGACAAUUCUUCCAUUUCUAAUGCAUACAAUCGAUGCUCCCCAACAUCCUAAGAAAACCACGCUCUUCAACUUUUGAUAGCAAUCUAACGAUGUCAUUACUAUUGGGUAAUCUCAAAUAUUCAUCACCAAAAAUUGAAAUGAAUGCUUUUACAAACCUUUUAAGACUCAAUAUAGCCAUGCUUUCACUGAUUCGCACAUAAUCAACGGAAUCCGCUGAAACACCAUAGGCAAACAUCCGUAUUGAGACAGUUAUCUUUUGUAGAGAAGAUAAACCGAGAUGUCCUGCAGCAUUCAUUUUUAGUACGAAAUAUGAAUUAUACGCUUCAACUGCUCUUUGAAUUCAGAAGAAAAACAGACACCACAUUCUAAACCUUCUCCAAAAUAGAUACCGAGGAGGGGGGUAUGUAGAAUUUUCUACAAAAUAAUCACAAAAAAAUCGAUUAUGACCUUCAUGUCUACCACGAUCAAUGAUAAUACAACCUUACACAGAACCACGAUGACGUAAUGUAUACCUAUUGACAUUUUUUUUUUCUUCUACAAUAACCAACAUGCCUAAUAAUUGUCCAUAUACUUUUUCAUCUUCUUCUUCAUCCACGUGCAACAUAACUAAUUCAAAUUAACAAGACAUUUAAAAUAACUUAUUUGACUGAAAAAAUAAAAUUAAAAUGAAUAAAUAUGAAAGAUUAGAUGCGACAUAUAUUUUAUAAAUACUAUUUAUUUAUUAAAAUAUAACCAUUAUAAUAUGACCGUUAAAAUAUGACCAUUAAAAUAUAGUCGUUGAAUUAUGCCCGUCAAAAUUUUUUUGAAUUAAUUGAUUAUUUUAAUUAUUUUAUAUUAUAAUCGACGAGAUAAUCCACAAGAUAGUCCAUCUGUUAAAAAAGAGCGAAGACUAAAAAACAUUUGCUAAUAUCAGAUAGACUAAAUAUAGUCCAGCAGAUCUAUCUAUUGGAGAUGCUCUAAACAGAAAUAGAUCAUAACUACAGUGAAGUUUAUCGGAUAUGCUUAGAUAUGGAGUAUGCAAGAAUUUAUGACAUCUAAUGUACUCAGAAAAAGGAUUUAACUAGCACAACUUUGCAGAAUUGUAACCCAACUCAGCGGCUUUAUCAUAAAAGUUUUGACAAAAAAAUAACCCACAACAGUUUAAAAUGAUAAUUGAGAAGAAAUAAAUGUCUAGCAUAGGAAGUUUUGAACUAUCAGCUCCAGCCAAAAACCAAAUAUAACUCAACACAUACAAGCAGUGAGUAAUCAAUCUUACUCAUGACAAAAAAUGAGAAGUGAUUUCAGCCAGUCCCAACACAAUAAACAAAGUAUACCAUUUAUGGACAGAAUAGAUGAGAUAGAGAAUAUACCUGAAAGAACAAUAUACAUUUAAAUAUACAUACAGAUUUUAAACAAUGUAUAGAUAUGCAUGUACAAAUACUUUAAUUACUUAAAAUACAUUCGUGUUUAAAAAAAACUGUAGAUAAGAAAUUUGUUGUUUUUGAAAGAAAUUUUAAUAUACUCUAAAAAAAUUACAAAUCUAGUCACGAAAAUUAGGAUUUAAACAGUUGUCACAAUCGUUGUUAAAAAAAUGAUUUGUUAGAUUAGAACUCAGAUCUUGAGCACUAAAUCUAACUAAAUUUGUUUAUCUGAAAACUCAUUUAAUCAAAAUGAACAACGAAACUUAACAGAUGAGAACGUUAAGAGUUUUCAGAUCUACAAACUUAGGGUUUUCCCCUUUUUAAAAAAAAAAUUGACACAAAUUAACACCAAAUACUGGUUUUUGAAAAAUAGAUUUUGAGAUAUAAAACUAUCCAUACUUAUUAAAAAAAAAAUCAGAGAAAGCCAACGGACAAAAAUGAACUGCAGAGAAAAACAAAAAGUAGAAUCAAACAAAUAAUUAGUAGAAGUAUGAUUUUGAGGGUGAUGAAUCGAUUGAUAGGAGCAGAUUAAUCGAAAUUGAAAUAAAAAUCAAGGACUUUUUACAGAGAACAGGGUUAGGGUUGAGAGAAUUUUGGGGAGAGAGAAAUGAGAUCCGGAAGAUAACAGAGAAGAGGAAGAGAAAUGAAAUUAAAAAU
rnacentral:lncRNA from 1 species